rnacentral:lncRNA from 1 species
GAAUACCCAAUGACCAAUAUAUAUGUAAAAAGGUGCUCAACUUCAUUAGUCACUUGAGAAAGGCAAAUUAAAACUCGAUGGUAAUAUACCACUUCACAACACCAGAAUUGCUAAAAUGAAAAAGACAAUAUCAAAUAUUGAGAAGGGUAAGGAAUAAUUGGAUUUCUCAUUUACUGCAGUUUUGGAGUGUAACUUGACACAACUUCAGCAAAGCACUGUUAACUAAAGUUGAAUGUACGCAUACCCAGUAAAACUAGCAAAAGUGCUGGAAGAUAUGCAUAGGAAGGUUUAUAGCAGCAGACUUUGCAAUAGCCAGAAAUUAAAAACAUUCCAGUAUUUGACAAGAUAAGAAUGGAUUAAAAAAAUUGUGAUAUAUUUAUACAAUGGAAUACCAUAGAGCAGUGAGAAUAAUGAAAAGACAAUAAUAUGCACAAUAGUAAACAGUAAUACAGAUGAAUCGUACAAAUAUGAUAUUGAAUGACAAAGUCAGGUAUAAUGACUGAUUCCUUCAUCACACACAAUUUUGAAGUUUUUAAACAUACAGAAAAUUCCAAAGAAGGCCAUAAUAAACACCAUUGUAUUCAAUACUCAAGUUUAACAGGUAUUACUUACUUCAGAAUGUUAUUUAAAAAAAAAAAUAGAAAGAUGUAGGUAUGGUGAAAAACCCAUACUCUAGGCCAUUCACCUUCCUUUCUCCUCAGGGUUAACCCUUAUCCAGGAUUAGUAAGUUUUUUUCUCAAUCAUGCUGUUAUGAUAUUAUUUCAGAGAUAAACAUUUCUAAAAUAUAUACUAUUGUUUUGAUGUUUAAAAAUUUUUCUUAAGUAGUAUCAUACUUAUUCUUUGCCACUGCUCUAUUUGGUCAACAUAUAUUUUCAGCAUGUCAUGUUUUUAUAUCUAGUUCAUUCAUAUUAUAUCACUUUUUUAUCCAUUUCUCUAUUGAUGAAUAACUGGGUUAUUUUCAAUUUUUUGAUAAUACAAGCAACAUUUUGAUUUUCAUAUGUACAUAUGAUUCCUAUGAUACAAUUACAUUCUUUAGAUUAUAUCAUUAGGAAGAUACAAU